AAAUCAAUAUUUAAUAUUUUGAAAAUAUUAUUUAGGUUAUUUAAUCUUUGAUUUU
rnacentral:tRNA from 1 species